rnacentral:rRNA from 1 species
UGCCUGAUGGAGGGGGAUAACUACUGGAAACGGUAGCUAAUACCGCAUAACGUCGCAAGACCAAAGUGGGGGACCUUCGGGCCUCAUGCCAUCAGAUGUGCCCAGAUGGGAUUAGCUAGUAGGUGGGGUAACGGCUCACCUAGGCGACGAUCCCUAGCUGGUCUGAGAGGAUGACCAGCCACACUGGAACUGAGACACGGUCCAGACUCCUACGGGAGGCAGCAGUGGGGAAUAUUGCACAAUGGGCGCAAGCCUGAUGCAGCCAUGCCGCGUGUGUGAAGAAGGCCUUCGGGUUGUAAAGCACUUUCAGCGGGGAGGAAGGCGGUGAGGUUAAUAACCUUGUCGAUUGACGUUACCCGCAGAAGAAGCACCGGCUAACUCCGUGCCAGCAGCCGCGGUAAUACGGAGGGUGCAAGCGUUAAUCGGAAUUACUGGGCGUAAAGCGCACGCAGGCGGUCUGUCAAGUCGGAUGUGAAAUCCCCGGGCUCAACCUGGGAACUGCAUUCGAAACUGGCAGGCUAGAGUCUUGUAGAGGGGGGUAGAAUUCCAGGUGUAGCGGUGAAAUGCGUAGAGAUCUGGAGGAAUACCGGUGGCGAAGGCGGCCCCCUGGACAAAGACUGACGCUCAGGUG